AGCUUUUUAUUCAAUAAUGAUUUUAAAUUGCAAAUUUAAAGGUGAUUUUUUCAAAGGCUU
rnacentral:tRNA from 1 species